UGCUGGGGGUGCCCGCCGUAGGCGGGCUGAGACAGUCCCUUAGAACCUGAUCCGGUUGAUACCGGCGGAGGGAAGCGAGGAU
rnacentral:ncRNA from 1 species